rnacentral:rRNA from 1 species
UACGGAGGUCUCUAGCGUUGUUCGGAUUCACUGGGCGUAAAGGGUGCGUAGGCGGCGCGUUAAGUCGGGUGUGAAAUCUCGGAGCUUAACUCCGAAACUGCAUUCGAUACUGCCGUGCUUGAGGACUGGAGAGGAGACUGGAAUUUACGGUGUAGCGGUGAAAUGCGUAGAUAUCGGAAGGAACACCAGUGGCGAAGGCGGGUCUCUGGACAGUUCCUGACGCUGAGGCACGAAAGCGUGGGGAGCAAACAGG